GCAGCAUGACCCUGGUAUGGUGAAGCAUUGUUGGUAAUCAUCUUUCACGGACACAUAUACACUGAUUAUCGCAUACAUGCAUACAUGAUUCACAAAGGUAAACAAUUGGUUGAGGACGAGUUGUCACAGGAAAAGUGGGAAGGACCGACGCCGUGACUGGAGAGUACCAUUGGAGGCGCGGUGGCUAAUUGAUCAGCUGGCAGGUAAUCAUGGUGAUGUCUAUUAGUAUACCUGAGCGUUUGGGCACUGGUUCUUUGGCUUUGCUUCUGAAGGCAGCAGAACGUUGGAGCUGCGAGGAGCGUGUCUGUGUUGGCAUCCCAUUGACGGAAGGUAACAGUGGUUGUGCCACUUAAGUUUGAGAUGCAUUUGGCUGUGUGCGUUUAGUCCUAUUGAUGUUGUAUACGCAACCUAAGUAAUUUGGGUCACUUCCUUCUAGUGGUGGCGUAUCCAUACCCCACGGGAAACCGGUUGGUAGAGAGACUUCCCUGAGCAUUGGCAUCGCGGAGAGAAAGCGUGCUUUGAGCGAGGGUCGGCAUUGCAGAGAGAAAAUUGACUACGUGUGAAGUUGCGACUACAACCACAUCCUACAAAAAAUGGGUGCUUGCUUCAAGACGUCAUAUGAACCGGUGUUUAAUUGUGGAGUGCGGAAACUUCGCGACCAGGUAAAUUAAUCAACCGUAAUGCUUUCCUGCUUCGUGAGGCGUUAAUAGAAAUGACCAUAAUAUCUGCCCUGUCUUACGCCUAUGUGUGGAUAUUGUUUCCACAGCCGAAGGUGGAGGUGCCAGUGGGACAAUCUUCUUGGCUGCAGCUCCAGCGUGCGCUGUGGUCACUGUUUCUCUCCCUGGAGAUUUGACUUGGACUGUGCGCGCCCAAUGCGCUUGAGCGUGCGGGUGCGCGUGUGACUGUGUGAGCGUCUGUGCACUGUGUGGUGCCUACACUCGGCGCAGGCCGCAACUCUGACAGCGUGUGAUUGUGUGUGUGUGGGUGCGUGUGUGUGUGGGGUAUUAGUGGGGUGGUCUAGGGAAAAGUGCAAUUUUACAUUCUUUGACUAAGUGGAUCGUUUUGUUCUUUUUUUCUUUCUUUUUCUUAUCUGGGGUUAGCUGUGAAGACAUCUGGGGACAGGUUGGCUUUGGGGGGGUCAGUCCGAUUGGGAAUAGGCAGACCGCUGGAUUGCUGUGCUUUGCUGUGAAAUCUAGUUAUAGUGGGGUGCGGUUAUUUGUUUUCUUUUGGGGUAUUUUGUUGAUUUGCAUGUUUGUUUAUUUUCUAUGCAUGGUGUGCUCUCAUCCUUGUGCCUAACCCAUUCUGACUGUACUAGCUGACCUGUCACUCAUCCCUCCUAUUUGUGACCUGAGAGGGGGUAGCACAGCAUAGUCCCAUACCUCUUUUGUUUUGUUUGUACCAGUCCUUAGGACCACAGUCGACUGGGCCCAGUGCUGUACCAUCUGAAUAGGCACAGCAUCAGAUUGCUGUGAGUUUGCAGUGCAAUACUUAUUCUUUGCUGUGCGAAGGGUUUGACUUAUUUUGUUUGCUGUUUGCUACAUUUUUGGGGUGGAUUUAUUUUGUUUGCAUGAGGGUGCGGUGUCAUUGCUGUGCCUAGGUCCGCUGAUUCCAUACUGGGCCUUGUCCAUAUUGUGGGCCCUAAUUUCUGUUUUAUUUAAUGUUCCUUUUAUCCACUUGGUGCAAAGUAUUUUAACUUUGGAAAUAAUAAUAAAAAACAAUCAGUGCACUUGCA